rnacentral:rRNA from 1 species
CAGCAGCCGCGGGAAUACGGAGGGAGCUAGCGUUGUUCGGAAUUACUGGGCGUAAAGCGCGCGUAGGCGGUUACUCAAGUCAGAGGUGAAAGCCCGGGGCUCAACCUCGGAACUGCCUUUGAAACUAGGUGACUAGAAUCUUGGAGAGGUCAGUGGAAUUCCGAGUGUAGAGGUGAAAUUCGUAGAUAUUCGGAAGAACACCAGUGGCGAAGGCGACUGACUGGACAAGUAUUGACGCUGAGGUGCGAAAGCGUGGGGAGCAAACAGGAUUAGAUACCCCAGUAGUCCCUGUCUCUUAUAC